AUUGAACGCUGGCGGCAGGCCUAACACAUGCAAGUCGAGCGGAUGAAGGGAGCUUGCUCCUGGAUUCAGCGGCGGACGGGUGAGUAAUGCCUAGGAAUCUGCCUGGUAGUGGGGGAUAACGUCCGGAAACGGGCGCUAAUACCGCAUACGUCCUGAGGGAGAAAGUGGGGGAUCUUCGGACCUCACGCUAUCAGAUGAGCCUAGGUCGGAUUAGCUAGUUGGUGGGGUAAAGGCCUACCAAGGCGACGAUCCGUAACUGGUCUGAGAGGAUGAUCAGUCACACUGGAACUGAGACACGGUCCAGACUCCUACGGGAGGCAGCAGUGGGGAAUAUUGGACAAUGGGCGAAAGCUUGAUCCAGCCAUGCCGCGUGUGUGAAGAAGGUCUUCGGAUUGUAAAGCACUUUAAGUUGGGAGGAAGGGCAGUAAGUUAAUACCUUGCUGUUUUGACGUUACCAACAGAAUAAGCACCGGCUAACUUCGUG
rnacentral:rRNA from 1 species